AGUGUUUCAGAAGAGAGAAAAGCACGGCGGGCAUCAACUGGAUUUCUGUGGUUGGUGAAGCUGUGCUGAGAAGUGGGCUGACUGCUGCCCCUGGAAAUGAGUCUGCAGACUUUGCACCCAGAGGAAUGACUUUUCCCUGCAGAUUGGGCUUGUCUAAGGUGAUUUUUUCAUGAGGAAAGAUUUGAAAUGCUGUUUGCUAAUGGAAGAUGGAGAGAAGAAAAUCAAGUGAAAGGCACGCUGUGCAUAGCCAGCACGUAGCAUCUGCACCACUCUCCCCCUGCACAAAGGAGGAGCAGCUCAGCAAGCUUGGCCUGGGCCAUGGAAGGCAGCAUACAAACAUCUGGACCAACUCCAACGGAGCUGCUUCUGCAGGAAUCCAAGUGGGUUUUUUAAUGAAGAACAAACUCGUGCAGCUUGUGAGUGAAUUCAUUCACGCAUGUUAAUCGUUGUUCUUCUCUACGUGGAGCUGCAAUUGAAAUGGAUGCUUGUGGUCUGAUGUGCAGCCCCCUCUGACAUGCUCAGCUGAGCCAAGUUUGCAAAACCUGGCUCUCGGUUGUAAGGCAUGUUGUUAUAAAGCACCAUCGUAGGGGCAACCUUGAUUUCUGUAGCCACCUGAGCUCUCCCCCAUGCUCCUCCCUGUGAUGUGAGACCGUAUUGGAGGCCAUGCAGAAGCCUGGUUCUUGAAAAGUUACCUUUGGAUUCUAAAUUACCAUUUAUUACUGAAUACACGUGCACCCCGCGCUUUUCAUCUGUGCAAAGAAUCUUGUAAACGUCUGUGUGUGUGUUUCUUCUUGGCACUGAGAUGAAGCUGUGUGGAACACAGGCUUGGAUGACUUUUCCAUCAGAUGCAGGGACGUGUAAUGCUCAUCUUAGAUGUCGUGCUGACAAGAAGAGCAGAGAGUCAUAACCAUGGAACCACAGAAGCGUUACCCAGACAGAAGGAGCCUUUGUCACCUGGACUUCCUACCAGUGACACAGGCAGUGGAAGUCAGCAUCCCAAGCAUCCAUGAAACCCCUGCAGAGGACUGGAAGAAAAGCUUGAUGUCUGUGCCAAGGGAGACGUACACCGCACUUGCGCUGCCUGGACGAAGUGGAAACUGGAAAUUGUGGGGUGUGCUGAAGCAUGCCCUCUCAGGCGACAUCUGCACUCUGCUCAGUCCAAGGAGAAUCCCUGCCCGCAGAUGCAAUGACACAGCAUGGCUCACCACCUCAUUUUUCAUUGCUUACUGUUAUGGUAGGUGCCAUCCAUGUCCACCCUGCGUAUUCUUAGAGCUUUUCUGGAGUCCAUGGGGCAGACUUAUGGUUGAACUAAAGGGAAUUUUUUCAUAAUGCUCUAGCUCCAGAUGAUUAUCCCUAGUAUCAUUAUAUUUAA